rnacentral:tRNA from 1 species
GGGAAGGUGGCCUAGUCCGGUAUGGCGACGGGCUCCAGACUCGUAAACCCCGGGGUUCGGCCCCAGGUUGAGGUACGAGCGUGGGUUCAAAUGGUUACUUGAUUUCCAAGUGGUCUGACGCUCCCAUCCUUCCCACCA